GUAGGUGGCAAGCGUUGUCCGGAAUUAUUGGGAGUAAAGCGCGCGCAGGCGGUUCUUUAAGUCUGAUGUGAAAGCCCACGGCUCAACCGUGGAGGGUCAUUGGAAACUGGAGAACUUGAGUACAGAAGAGGAAAGCGGAAUUCCACGUGUAGCGGUGAAAUGCGUAGAGAUGUGGAGGAACACCAGUGGCGAAGGCGGCUUUCUGGUCUGUAACUGACGCUGAGGCGCGAAAGCGUGGGGAGCAAACAGGGAUUAGAUACCCUGGUAGUCCACGCCGUAAACGAUGAGUGCUAAGUGUUAGGGGGUUUCCGCCCCCUUAGUGCUGCAGCUAACGCAUUAAGCACUCCGCCUGGGGAUACGGCCGCAAGGCUG
rnacentral:rRNA from 1 species